AAGGAUUUAAGUUAAGCUUAAACUAUUAGCCUUCAAAGUUAAAAAUAGAAAUAAAUUCUAAGCCUUA
rnacentral:tRNA from 1 species